AUAGUUAGUGGCGAACGGGUGAGUAACGCGUGGGGAUCUGCCCUGGAGUGGGGAACAACAGUUGGAAACGACUGCUAAUACCGCAUACGCCCUGAGGGGGAAAGGCUUCGGCCGCUCUUGGAUGAUCCCGCGUCUGAUUAGCUUGUUGGUGGGGUAACGGCCCACCAAGGCGACGAUCGGUAGCUGGUCUGAGAGGAUGAUCAGCCACACUGGGACUGAGACACGGCCCAGACUCC
rnacentral:rRNA from 1 species